GUGACCCUGCCGUGAUGGGCGGGGCGGCAGGGGAGGAACCAGACUGCGAGCGGAGAAGCGGAGUUUGCAGCCUCGGAAUUGGCUAGAGCGCCAGAGCCGAGUCAGCCAUAAAGCUACGCGCUAGGCUCUUGGCCCUGACGUGAGGCGCGCAGAGAUGGCGUAACGGGAAUAGUUUUCAACGUCUAUUUCAUUCCCUGCUUCAGAGGACCUCUUUAAUCUUUGAUUUUGGUCCCUGUUUCUAAGAAAAGCAACUGAAAAGGUCGUAAUACCGCCCCUGAGAAAAAAGGAGCAGCGCUAAAUAAUCGAGAAAAUGCCUCCUCUUGAAACGGAUAUAGAGAUGGAAACAAGAUAUAAGAAGGAUUGAGAAUCAUAUAAUACAGGAGCUUAAACACCUAUGCGCGAUGAUAAAGAGGGUACUAUUAGAGCGCUUGGAAAAUACCAGGAAGUUGAGAGAGUUAACAGAAGGGCGCACGCUGGAUUGGCCACAAAAUCGAAUUACUGAAGUAAGUGCAAAACGACAAAUUGUCACAGAAUACAGAGAAAAGGGGAAAAGAAAUUAAGAGGAGAAAAAGAGAGAUCUAGAGGGCCGGUCCAGGAGAUACAAUCUAUGCAUAAUAGGAAUACCUGAAACUGAGGACAGAGCAAGUGGAGCUGAAACAAUAAAGGAUCUACUUGAAAAAAUUUUCCAGAAUUGAAGAACGAACUAGAUCUACAAAUGGAAAAGGCUCAUAGGAUACCUUUAAAGUUUAAUGAAAAGAAAGCAGCAUCUAGACAUAUCCGGGUGACGUUUUUGAAUUUCAAAGACGAAACAUUUUACAAGCAUCCAGUCAGAGAAAGCAGGUUACUUACAAAGGGGCAAAAGUCAGGCUGACCUCAGAUUUUUCUCCUGCAAUUCUAAAUGCCAGAAGACAGUGGAACAAUAUCUAGAGUGUUAAGGGAAAAUAAUUUUGAGCCAAGAAUUAUAUACUCUGCCAAGUUAUCAUUUCUUUACAAAGGAAACUGGAAGACAUUCUUAGAUAUACAGGGGUUAGGAAAGUAUAUCAACCAAGAACUUUCCCUGAAAAUUUUGCUGAAGGAUUUACUGCAGCUAACAGAGAACCUGAAUUAAAAUAAGAAUAGGGAGGCAAUUGUAUGAAAGAACUGAUGGUAUGCAUUAAAACUAGUUAAGGAGCAUUAAGUUUAAAUUGUUAUGUAUAGGGCAUUAAAACUAAAUACAAAAAUAGAAACAUAAGCUGGGUGUAAAAUUUCAGUUUACGUUUAAACUGGAAGGGCAUACCACAUGUUCAAUAUAUUGGACAAAUACUGUUUUAUUUUUAGCAUGUAGUAUUGUAGAUACAAAUACGCAUGUUCUUAAGCUAAACCUAAGUAAAAGGGCUUUGUCACUGUAGAUUUGACAAAUAACAUUCUAAAUGUCAAAUCUGACAAUUGGAAAACAGUACAGUUUUAUUUCCCUUAUUUUUAAGUAUAGCAGGAAAAAAAUAACAAGUUUGUCCAUGUUACUACUGAUACUGUAAAGAAACUUCCAAAUCACUGGUUUGGGAGGGGGUGGAUACAUCCUCAUUUUCUGUACAUGAUGCAUGGGGAAAAACAGUAGUUACUGCAUCAUAUAGUUCCAAGUAAAUCAUAUAGUUCCAAGUAAAUUUGACAUGGAAAUAAGUGUUAACUACAAAAAUAGAAUAUAUACAUUCCAAUGUUUGGAAAAGAAGUGGUAAAAAGAAAAAUAGCAAAAAGACACUAAAAUUAGCAAAAAGUAGAUUGACAGUACAGAUGACCUAUAAACUGGUUAAAUAGCCCUAUUACAAUUGAAAUUGGGUCAAAAAUCAAUCUCUAACCUGAGAUACAUUUGUAUAAAACAAAUGAUCAAAGAGUUUAAAGAUAAUGGAAACUAUAAAUCAUAGAAAUGGCAACAUUUUUCUUAAAAUCUAAACAUAAGACAUUUUAUGUAAAACAUACAAUAUAGGAUGUAACAUUUAACAAACUAUAUGGUAAAUAAUAUGACAUUAAUAUAUAAAAUAUAUGUUCCAGAUCUUGAUGUGGGUGAUAGUUUUACUUAUGUACAUCGAUAUACAUCUAUUUAAAAACAUGUACAUUUAAAUUGUUGCAUUUUAUGUAUUUAAAAUUUAUUGAGUAAUCCUUCUGUAUGUAUUAUUAAAGAGAAUAUAGCAAA
rnacentral:lncRNA from 1 species